rfam:Aedes albopictus isolate Foshan contig112376, whole genome shotgun sequence.
CUCCAGUUAGCCUAGUGGUUAAAGCUAUGGAUCGUCAAUCCGGAGGCGGCGGGUUCGAUUCCCGUCCUGGUCG